rnacentral:rRNA from 1 species
UACGUAGGCAGCAAGCGUUGUUCGGAAUUACUGGGCGUAAAGAGUGUGUAGGCGGUGUCGUAAGUUUGGCGUGAAAUCUCCCGGCUUAACUGGGUGGGUGCGCCGAAGACUGCGAUGCUUGAGGAUUGGAGAGGAAAGUGGAAUUUCUGGUGUAGCGGUGAAAUGCGUAGAUAUCAGAAGGAACACCUGUGGUGUAGACGGCUUUCUGGACAAUUCCUGACGCUGAGACACGAAAGCGUGGGUAGCAAACAGG